GAUGAACGCUAGCUACAGGCUUAACACAUGCAAGUCGAGGGGCAGCAUGAACAAAGCUUGCUUUGUUUGAUGGCGACCGGCGCACGGGUGCGUAACACGUAUCCAAUCUGCCCGCGGCUCGGGGAUAGCCCAUCGAAAGAUGGAUUAAUACCCGAUGGCGUGGUCGCCCCGCAUGGGGUUUCCACUAAAGGUUUUCCGGCCGCGGAUGAGGAUGCGUAUGAUUAGGUAGUAGGCGGGGUAACGGCCCACCUAGCCUUCGAUCAUUAGGGGUUCUGAGAGGAAGGUCCCCCACACUGGAACUGAGACACGGUCCAGACUCCUACGGGAGGCAGCAGUGAGGAAUAUUGGUCAAUGGGCGAGAGCCUGAACCAGCCAAGUAGCGUGAAGAAGACUGCCCUAUGGGUUGUAAACUUCUUUUGUUUGGGAAUAAAGUGCAGUAUGUAUACUGUUUUGUAUGUACCGUUCGAAUAAGCAUCGGCUAAUUCCGUGCCAGCAGCCGCCGCAGUAA
rnacentral:rRNA from 1 species